rnacentral:lncRNA from 1 species
AAGAGGCCAGAGAAAGGAAAAACACACACCUUUGCUCACAAGGGGUUGUAAUUACUAAGAUAUUGAUUGGGAUAAUAAGUUUGCCAAAACUCCAGAGAGGGAGAUAUAUUCCUCCAGGUGUUUUGCUUUUGUGGCAUUUGCUGAGUUCUCUUGUGAAGUCAGGUCAGUUUGGAAGCCCAGGUCUGGCUCUGAAGCCAGCAAAUAACCAGGAUGUGGAGAAACAGUUGCCUCCCUAGAGAAGGAAGCCCAGUGCACGUGGUGACUCGCUACACUUCCCCCAGCUUUCCUGUGAUCAUCAUUAGCUUGGUCUUUGCUACUAUUAAUAACGCUUGGAGCCUGAUGGGGUUAGUGUGAAGCGAGGAGAAUUGGCCCCCAGAAGAGUUAACAGACUUUAGACUUCUCUUCAUCAGUUUUCCAGAAGCCUUCUCUGCUUUCCCCUGAGCUACAUGCCCCUAUGCUGAACAUGUGUGAAACUCAUGUGCAAUCACACAGACAGACAGACAGACAGACAGACAGGCACACACACACAUUCUCGCUCGCGCACACGCACACAUGCUCACAUGCACAUUUGACCAGCCCCACUGUUUUUGUUUUUUUUUUCCUAGAACCGUACUCAUGUCUACCUGGCACCCAAAUUAGCGGCAUUAAGAGUUUGGCUUUGCAGAUGGAGAAAACUGAACUCAAGACUUGUUUGCUGGACAGUCCUGAGUGAAUCAUCUCUUCUCUUCCUCAGUGUGACAGAAUGAGAGUUUCUCGUCCGGCUGGUGUGGAGAUGAGGAAAACUUGCAGGACUUGUGAACGACAGCGGAAGCUGCAAAGUGUGGUGGAGAUCUCUGUCCUGCUGUUUAAGAAGUGGGCCUCCGAGGGUCUGAGCCUAGCCACCUAGAGGAGAGUGGUCUGGCCAUCAUAGAGUUCCUCAUGCCACAUCUCAUGAGCACUUACCUUCUCGUACAUAAAUAUCGGGCAGUGGAAUCGGAGCAUGUGUCCCCUGACUGGAAGCAGUGACAACCACGGCAGCAGAAAGGAAGAAGUGAUUACCUCUAUGAAGGGAGCGGGGGUCUGUUCAAGCCACGCAUUAAGCAUGCAGCCCCUGAGCAAGUCGCAUGCAUGGUAAAAUAUUACCUUAAUAACGAACGCACAGAGAGCCAUGUGUAAAUGGUAACAGCUGCUUUUGUGAUGACCAUGUUGUAAACGACCGCGGCCUCGA